UUGAGGUCAAGCUACUAAGGCGCGCGGUGGAUGCCUAGGCAUCAGGGGCCGAAGAAGGACGUGGUAAGGCUGCGAUAAGCUCCGCUCAGCUGCCAAACAAGCUCAGGCGGAGAUUUCCGAAUGGGGAAACCCGGCCCGGGAAUACCGGGUCACUCCAGGUUGAACACAUAGGCCUGGUAGAGGGAACCGGGGGAACUGAAACAUCUAAGUACCCCGAGGAAAAGAGAUUAUUCU
rnacentral:rRNA from 1 species